rnacentral:rRNA from 2 species
GAGUUUGAUCUUGGCUCAGAUUGAACGCUGGCGGCAUGCCUUACACAUGCAAGUCGAACGGCAGCGCGGGAGCAAUCCUGGCGGCGAGUGGCGAACGGGUGAGUAAUACAUCGGAACGUGCCCAAUCGUGGGGGAUAACGCAGCGAAAGCUGUGCUAAUACCGCAUACGAUCUACGGAUGAAAGCAGGGGACCGCAAGGCCUUGCGCGACUGGAGCGGCCGAUGGCAGAUUAGGUAGUUGGUGGGGUAAAGGCUCACCAAGCCGACGAUCUGUAGCUGGUCUGAGAGGACGACCAGCCACACUGGGACUGAGACACGGCCCAGACUCCUACGGGAGGCAGCAGUGGGGAAUUUUGGACAAUGGGCGCAAGCCUGAUCCAGCCAUGCCGCGUGCAGGAUGAGGAUCUUCGGGUCGUAAACUCCUGUCGAAUGGGACGAAUGGGUAGCGGGUUAACAACCCGCGACCGUGACGGUACCGUUAAAGGAACCCCGGCUAACUCCGUGCCAGCA